AAGCUCGUAGUUGAAUUUCGGGGUUUACCCAUUGGUCAGGCAUAAUUGUCUGUACUGGUGAGAUAAAUCUCUACCUUCUGAGGAACUUUCAUGCCAUUUAUUUGGUGUGAUUGGAAAUCAGGACUAUUACUUUGAAAAAAUUAGAGUGUUUAAAGCAGGCUAACGUCUGAAUAUAUUAGCAUGGAAUAAUGAAAUAGGACGGCUUGGUUCUAUUUCGUUGGUUCCUAGGAUCACCGUAAUGAUUAAUAGGGAUAGUUGGG
rnacentral:rRNA from 1 species